rnacentral:rRNA from 1 species
GACGAACGCUGGCGGCGUGCUUAACACAUGCAAGUCGAACGGUAAGGCCCUUCGGGGUACACGAGUGGCGAACGGGUGAGUAACACGUGGGUGAUCUGCCCUGCACUUCGGGAUAAGCCUGGGAAACUGGGUCUAAUACCGGAUAGGACUCCGGACUGCAUGGUCUGGGGGGGAAAGCUUUUGCGAUGUGGGAUGGGCCCGCGGCCUAUCAGCUUGUUGGUGGGGUGAUGGCCUACCAAGGCGACGACGGGUAGCCGGCCUGAGAGGGUGACCGGCCACACUGGGACUGAGAUACGGCCCAGACUCCUACGGGAGGCAGCAGUGGGAAUAUUGCACAAUGGGCGCAAGCCUGAUGCAGCGACGCCGCGUGAGGGAAGACGGCCUUCGGGUUGUAAACCUCUUUCAGCACAGACGAAGCGCAAGUGACGGUAUGUGCAGAAGAAGGACCGGCCAACUACGUGCCAGCCGCCGCCGUAA